rnacentral:rRNA from 1 species
UACGUAGGGUGCGAGCGUUGUCCGGAAUUAUUGGGCGUAAAGAGCUCGUAGGCGGCUUGUCGCGUCGGAUGUGAAAGCCCGGGGCUUAACUCCGGGUCUGCAUUCGAUACGGGCAGGCUAGAGUUCGGUAGGGGAGAUCGGAAUUCCUGGUGUAGCGGUGAAAUGCGCAGAUAUCGAUCGGAACACCCAUGGCGAAGGCAGCUCGCUGGCCUAAAACUGACGCUGAGGCGCGAAAGCGUGGGGAGCGAACAGG